GUCGAGCGAUGAAACACCCUUCGGGUGUGAAUUAGCGGCGAACGGGUGAGGAACACGUGAAGAAUCUGCCUUCAACUCUGGGAUGACUCCGGGAAACCGGGGCUAAUACCGGAUAUGAGCCUUGAUCGCAUGAUCGGGGCUGGAAAGUUUUUCGGUUGAAGAUGACUUCGCGGCCUAUCAGCUUGUUGGUGAGGUAAUGGCUCACCAAGGCGACGACGGGUAGCCGGCCUGAGAGGGCGACCGGCCACACUGGGACUGAGACACGGCCCAGACUCCUACGGGAGGCAGCAGUGGGGAAUAUUGGGCAAUGGAGGAAACUCUGACCCAGCGACGCCGCGUGAGGGAUGAAGGCCUUCGGGUUGUAAACCUCUUUCAGUAGGGAAGAAGCGAAAGUGACGGUACCUACAGAAGAAGCACCGGCUAACUAUGUGCCAGCAGCCGCGGUAAUACAUAGGGUGCAAGCGUUGUCCGGAAUUAUUGGGCGUAAAGAGCUCGUAGGUGGUUCGAUACGUCGGAUGUGAAAAUCAGGGGCUCAACCCCUGACCUGCAUCCGAUACGGUCGAGCUGGAGUUUGGUAGGGGAGACUGGAAUUCCUGGUGUAGCGGUGGAAUGCGCAGAUAUCAGGAGGAACACCGAUGGCGAAGGCAGGUCUCUGGGCCAAUACUGACACUGAGGAGCGAAAGCGUGGGGAGCGAACAGGAUUAGAUACCCUGGUAGUCCACGCCGUAAACGGUGGGCGCUAGUUGUGCG
rnacentral:rRNA from 1 species